UUUCUUUCAAAAUCUGUGGGCAGUCUAGACAUGCCCUUAGAGACUAACCGUAAUUGCCCCCACAGCCUCAUGUACAAAAGAGCGUUGUGGCAGCUAGAGUACAAGUACAUUUUGCAGGCCUACCAUCAAAUCACCAAUGAUUUUUUUUUGUUUAUAAUUUCUUUGUGCAUGUUCUGGUAGUGAGUUUGGAAGAAUACAAAUCCUCAAAGCAGAAUCAGUGAGCAUCAGUUGUAUUGAAGAUUUAUGAACUCAAGUAACGUCCCAUCAAUUAAACAAAUGAAUUGCUAAGCUGAAAUAUAAAAUUUUAUCACAAUACAUAAUAAUAGCUCUUUCAGUUCUUUAGGCUGGCUAGGAAUUUAAUAUAAAGUGAGCUCUCUAAGUGCAAUGUGGUAAUUUUUCCCAGAGGAAACCUAAGGUUUCUUUCCAGCCUCCUGCAGCUUCUUCCAGUAAUAUAUGAUGGUGAGCCUGCUUCCAAAGUCCUGUCAUAGUUCUGAGUCUGUUUGCAGCCAUCACCUUCUUAUACAGACACUCAUUAUGAUAGUUCUUCAUUCCAAGGUAUCAUUUCAGCAGAUGCCAGAAGAGGGAAAACUUUUUUUCCCAGGAAGUUCCAUAUCCCUUUUCCUUGUUUCUUCUCAGUUCCAUGAGGCAGCUCAAAUUUAGACAGCCCCAAUUUAGCAACCACAUUAAAAAAUGAUGCUAAUCUAAUGAUGGCACAAAUACAAUAAAUAAAAAUAAACUAUUAUUUUCACUGUUCCUCCCAAACAGAAAGUGUAUCUAAAACACAAGCAUCAUAAGCAAUAAAACCUACAAGUCAGUUUAGAGGCCUUUCCUUCAAACGUGUCAUUAUAAACCAUGGUACAUCAACCAGCAAGUGACAGACUGAGACAGGAGAGAGUAAUCAUUAUGCCACUCAUUCAGUGCCCUAGACUUGGCUACUCACCUCUUGCCCACAGCCCUGCUAAAUACCUGUCAGCAUCCCUUGUACUCAUAAGUGGAGAAGAGAUCAUAUUUGUUUAAAAUGUAAUUUUAAUGUAUGACAUGAAAAUGGGUACAAGGUUAUUCACUUAUACAGAUGCCUAUUUAAUACCUCAUCUCACAUCAUAUGUACAUAUGCAGUGGAGAUCAACAAGCUUAUUUAUUCUUGGCAACUUGUUGUCAAUUAACUAUUUGGCAUAAUGAUAGGAAUUCUUUAUGCCAGCAAGCAGGCUCAAAGAAUGGCUCAGAAGUGCAUCCUUUUAUACAACACCAAAAAAACAAAACAAAACAGAACAAAACAAAAUCUAUUCACAGAUGUUUUGGUGACACCUGAAAAAGUGAAUCACAUUUAGUGUGCAAUUAUUGUGCCUAAUGAAUCAGUUUAUUUGAUGAAGAAUUUUGCAAGAUGUAAUAAUCGAAACAUUUCUUGAAUAAUACAACGCGUCUAUUCUUCUAUAACUUUGUGUUAAUCUACGAAGACCCUCUUUACUUUAAGCUACAAUUUUCAACCUGGCCACAGAAAUAAAAAAUUAAAAUGGGCUGAAAAAUUGGAUUUCUCAUAUUAAAAAUUUAAAAUUAGAAAAUGUUCAACUCAUCUACUCAGAAUACAGAAAGGAAGUAGCUCAAUGCAAAACUAAUGAAACGCUGAUGCACCAAGUCUGGAAAACUAGGAAAAUAUCUGGUGCCUUUGUUCAGAUCUUAGCUUUUCUAUAUAGAUUUCUGAAUUGUUGCUUGGAACACUAGAUCAUGUAAUUAAUUCCUCCUCUUGCCCCCAGACCUGAUAAACACCUGUGAACAUCCCUCAGGUUUCUGUUGUCCUCUGCUUCCUCCUUAAAUGGCAUCGUGAUUUAACUCUGAUUUUUAUAUGGACAUGUGAAAAUGAACCCUUUAUGUCAAAUGUUUUAUUUUAGUCCACUCACUUUUUUAAAAAAGUUGUCAAGAAACAAAAAGGGACACACCCAAUUUUUAAUUAUCAACUUAAGGUCAGAAGGUACCAUUACAUCAUUAGUCUGACCUAACGUAUGUGACAAGCCAUUAAAUUGUACUUAGUUACUCCUUUAUUGAGCCUAAUAACGUGGGUUUGAGUAAAGCAAAUCUUCCAGAAAGAGAUCCCAUCAUGAUUUGAGCACAUUACUACUUUUAGUAGUUUGUUACAGCAGCUAAUUGCCCUGUUACAGCUUUGUGCCUUAUUUCUAAUUUGAAUUUGUCUUGCUUAAGCUUCCAGACAUUUGUUGUGGUUAUGUCUUUCUCCACUAGAUUAAAGAGCCCAUUAAUAUCAGUAUUUUUGUGCCCCAUGUACUGUAAUCAAGUUGCCCCAGUCUUUAUGAUAAGCCUAACCAGGCCUGGUGACAGAUGGGGGCAAAGAGGGUGAUUCAAAAGGGCCUGGGACUCCGGCCACUGCUGCUGCUACUGAGGGCUGCCUGGGGGAGCUGUGGCAUGCGACAGGCAGUUCUGAGGCUACCUGAGGAAACCAACCCCACCUCUGCCCCUUCUGCCCAAGAUUCCACCCCUUCCUGCAUGGAGACCCUCUCCCCCACAAAUAUCUUGCACAUGGGCCUGGUGACUCAUUGAGCCUAACAGACUGAACUAUAAAUCUCACUAUAGCAUUUUCUCCAGCCUGCAAAUCCUUUUUGAGGAUCUUUUCUGCACCUUGUCCAAUUUUUCAAGUGUGGACAAGAGAGAUUGACACUGUAUUCCAGAAUUAGUCUGACCAAUUUCAGUUGCAGAGGUAAAAUCACCUCCCUACUGUUGCUCAACAUUCCCUCGUUUCAACAUCCUAAACUUCUCGCCACAGCAUCACACUAGGAACUCAGGUUUAGCAGCUUGCUCACGAUGACCCCUAAAAUCCUGUUUUUGAGACACUGCUUUUCAGGAAAUAGUCCCUCAUUCUAUAGAUGUGGUCUGAAUUCUUAAUUCCUGUUCAUACAACUGUACACUUGGCUUUAUGCAAACAUUUUGUUUACACACGAUUCAACCACCACUCCACUAUAAAAUUAUAGUAUUAAAAAUAUAUGUAGACAAGAGAGCUUCCCUCUCAACCCUUCCUUUUCAUGACUAAUUACUAUUUUACUUCUACACAGACAUAAUGUGUCAAAUUCUUCUCCCACUUACACUGGUACAACCCCACUGCAAUAAUCAGAACUACACUACUGUAACGGAGGGGGAAAUGUGGCCCACUGCAUUCUUUAAAUGGCCCAUCAUUAAAGCAAUGCAGCUUCUCCUUUAUAUUCUAAAGAAAGGAAAUUGCAAAUACAUUUUUAAAGAAUGCAGUUCAUGACUGGUAACUCUACAGACUAACAGCACUCAGACGUUAGCAGUGAGUGCCAGAACAAGGGCAGGCUGCAGAUGCCAAUUAGCUGUGUAGUUACCACCUGCUUUCUACCAUAGUUAGCUUUAUAUGAUAUCAGAACAUUACAUUUUUAUAGUCUGGGGGUUUUAAAAAAAUUGUUUAGGUCAAUGUUCCUAAUAUAAAUAAAACUCCAGUGUCAAUUAGGGGUGUGAACAGUUAACCUUAAUGGGUGAGGCAUACCAGUUAGGGUUCACCGGUGGGGGCUGCUCAGCCCCGCAGAGCCCACCUCUCUAGUCCAGUUGUGCUGGAGUUUCCCCUCUACUCUCCGCAAGCACCUGUUUAAUCCAUUCACUGGUUAAACAUACAAUUUAACCAGUUAUCCUGUUUGGUUAGUUUUUACAUUUCUAGUGUCCAUGUGUCUUCUACCUUUGCAUAUCUGACCUUGGUUUGCCAAGAUGUUCUGCUCCUCGUACUCUAUAUUAUCCCCUUCUCAAUAUAGUAAAACCAGUGCUAUUCGGAAACCUGUAGAGACCGGCAAAUUUCUGACGCUGGGAAAAGCAAAAGCAAAAGAGAAACUGGCCCUUUAAGUGCCAGGCCGUUCCUCAGACGAGCAUGCAGCACAUACCUGGGGGAGGGGUGAAUGGCAGCUGGAAGCAAGCAGAAACUUCAGUGUUUGACGGUUUCAACCAUAAAGAAGAGUAUGAAAAGUCACAAAAAUUGGAGAUCAUUGUAAAUUACAAACAUAGGAUUCCCAGAUUCAAAGUUUAAGAGGAUUGGGACUCAGAGGCAUGCUUAUGACACUAAAUCUAGUCUGUAUUCUUCAUGGUCAUGCCAAAAGGGGGUUACAAUAUACUUAUGUGAGUGUGAUUAGAGUUUGGAUGAGAUUUCAACAGACUUAGUUAAAAAGGCAAUUUGUGCAGUAUCUAAUAGAUUUACCCACAUGAAAUAAUAAAUAUGGAUGUUAAAAGCUGAAACAGCUACAACGGAAGUCAGAUGGGACAAAACACCCUACAAGAUGGUUUAUUCUAAGCCUGGAAACAAGAAUGCAAUAACAUACUUUUCUUGCCUACUUCUCACCAUAAAUUCUACAUUUUAACCCUUUCAAGAAAGCAAGAAUAUAACACUGAGAAGGCAUAACACUUCUAAACAUUCUGAACAUGUGAAAUGCAUAUGAAGAUUUCUUGUGAUUUAUAAACAACCUUACAGGCAACAUGCGCUUACAUUUUCAAGCUGGUGAAGUAGUUUAGGAAAGCUUUGGAUAUCUCUUCCAGAAAUAGGGAAGAAGAAAAUAUAUGCUAAUAGGAAGGAGUCCACUCCUGCAGCUUUAAUAAGAGAUCAAUCUAACAGUUAGAGAAAGUGACCCAGGGGAUCAUGUUUUGGUAACGCCUAUAUAUAGUCUUUGACUUUGAAGAGCUGGGUUUGAAGAACUUACAUAACCUACUAGACCAAUACACCAAGGAAGAGCCUCAGAUUACAAUAUUUGUUCAGAAGGUCAGAAAUAGCUUUUGCACAUUUUAUGAGUAAAGCACAAAAUAUUUAUCUAAAAAUUCACUAUAAUCCAAUUUCACAGAAAUUGUACACAAGUGAGAGCCUGCAUUUCUGAAGUUCUACUUUAUUGAUUUAGUUAAGGAAUACGUGGUUGCUUAUUCCUUAGGGUUCUUGAAGAAAAAUAAUUUAAGAGUGAAAUGUACUUUUCCAGGUACAGCUGUGCUUAUCUACAGCAGCAGAAAAGCUCUAGUGGCUUAUGGCAUAAAAGACCAUUAAAAUUUGUAUUAAACUUCAGUUUCUUUGAACUAUUAAAGUUCUAGACAACUUUUAAUUCUGAAAAUUAUCCUCCUUUCCAGGAAUGCAAUUUUGUCAAGUAUUCUAUCCUCAUAAAAGUCAGGUUAUUUAAUGUUUCCUCAAAAGUUUAACACACAUAAUGCUAAACACGCAAGUUGUUGUCCCUUAUCCUACAAGUUCUCCUUUAUGGGAGGACUUUUAAGACUAUGUGGGAUUCGUUGAAGGAUUUGGAUUUUACCAAGCAGUCACUCAGAAUGUAUUUGGUUUUACAAGGCUCUGAUGAAGAUUUAAACUUGGGUACAAGUUGCUAUAAAACAGAAAGACAAGUGGUGUGAAAUACAGCCACUCAACAGCUAGAUGGGAAAAAAGGAAGAUAGUUUAUUUGGUUUCUAAAAGGAAUUUCUAGAAUCGUUUUUAGAAAUGACACUGUCAAUAUCUCCAUUCCUUGAAGAAUGUCAGUGUGGACUGCCUUCUUAAUAAUACAGGGAUUAUACUUCUCAACAGGAGACUCCAUCUCAUGAGACAGAGGAGCAAUGAGAAAAUUCAGGGCAAAAUUAUAAGCAUUAGAAAGAUGUUUUAAAGAGAAUUAUAUAUUUUUGGUUAAACAAUUAAAAUAAUUUACCUUUGCCAUUUUGAGGUCACCCUUCCUUAUAUUCAAUUCCAGGUGUCAGUUUUGUCCAGCUGUUACAUUCUGACACCUGGACUGUGAGUAUCUCUGGGACAUGGACUAUCAUCUUUGCCUGUAUAAUAAGGACCCAAUUCUUUGCUCAAGUUUCUAAGUGAUACCAUACCAAAAAUAAAUAAUAUACACCCACGCACUCUGGCAUCUAUUAAUUACAGGUAUUCAGGCCAAAUCUGCCCCAUAAAACUGUCAACAAGGUAGUUUUUUGAAUCAGUAUUAAUUAUUCUUUAGUCACUUACCUUAUUUGUAAUUAGAUUUAAUGAUUAAGGUAUCUUUUUAUAUGCUGAAAUUUUCCUGUUAGUGCAAAAUGUUAGAAAUCACAGACCAUCCUGAUUAAAUUUAAAUAUCAUUCCAAACACGUCAGCGCUGUGCAAAUAUGUGACUAUAUUUCUUGUAUCAUUCUAUUGUACAACUUUUUUAAAUUAUUUAAAUUUAAAUGAUCUAACAGCUCCAAAUAGCCUCAAAUCAAGUGAAAAACUGGCAGCAGCACAAGAUUUAAAAUUAAAACAUGUUUGUAAAUAAGCCAACAAUCUACAGGGGAGCUUUGGAAAUAACAGGUUUGAUUCAUCACUUCAUUACUCUAGUUUUGAUUUCAACUAAAUUUUGUUGACACACAGCUGGAUUAAACCAGUAACAUUUCAAACACAAAAAGGGAUCAAAAUUAGUGUU